rnacentral:rRNA from 1 species
UACAGAGGUGGCAAGCGUUGUUCGGAAUUACUGGGCGUAAAGGGUCCGUAGGCGGUGUGGCAAGUCGGAAGUGAAAUCUCUGGGCUUAACCCAGAGGCUGCUCCCGAAACUGCCGUGCUAGAGUGCGAGAGAGGCGAGUGGAAUUGCGGGUGUAGCGGUGAAAUGCGUAGAUAUCCGCAGGAACAUCCGAGGCGAAAGCGGCUCGCUGGAUCGCAACUGACGCUGAGGGACGAAAGCUAGGGGAGCAAACAGG